GCCAUGAUAUACCCAUUAACUUGAUUCGCUAAAACGAUUAUACAAACACUGUUAUAAGUAGCAUUCAAUUCGUGUAUCUUAAGUUAGUGUUUUCUGUGUCAUAAAUCCAGGAUUGUAAUCCCAAUGUCUAUGCUGAACGCCACCAAGAUCAGACGACUGUACGCAAUAGUGUUAGCUUGAUUCUUCACGUGAUUAUACUGUUUAAAGACUGUGGCAUAAUUAGAUAUCACUGCCGAGUAUUACUGAAGUCAAAUGUGUGUAUUGUUUGCCUAACUGAUGCCAAACUACCGAUUGUCCACGACACUAUCUACGAACAUUGAACCAUUCAAUAGGGCCUACACCGGCUGUGUAGCGCACUAUAAUAACAAGACGGGGCUCUCCGCUGGCUAAUGCAAUUCAUCCCAUCGAAAAGAAUAUAAAUUUUUGAUUGCGUUGUGAAAAUAGAAAAUACUUUUAUUGAACAGCAGAGCGUCGUACUACAGCGAAAGGAGUAUAUAUUGAUGAUAGAGGCGAGUUUACAACUGUCAAGAGACGAAUUCUUGAGCCAGGGAAACGUAUUCCAUGACUUCAGCUUAACGGCGGUAUCAGACUCGAUGGAGAACAACAUACACAGAUACGAUUAUGUGAAUUGACGUGGAGCAAUAUAACAAAGAACAAGUAUGCCGAGGGGUCGCGAGCGGCCAUUGUACGUUUGGAUUGUGGGAUUCUCCAUUUCCGGCGUGAUCGCGGUGGUCGGAGUGAUUGUGUUUCUGGUCUAUGGAUGUAAAAGAUGGAGAGAAAACAAAAGAAUAAAACUGCACAGAAUGGAACUAGAACGUGAAAUGGCAAGACAAAUAGACAAACCAAAGGAAGUGAAAGCUAGUACUUCCGGUUACUCACAUCGAUGCAGCUCACGUGUUGGUGUUUAUGAUGGUAAGGAAGAUCCAGCUGUGACUAAGUCGGACGCUGCAACAGAACAAGAAACAGUUAUAUUGUCCGAAACAAAACGGACAGUGACUUUUCAGGUACCAAAAUCAUAAUCACAACACUUUUCAUGUUCCAUUUGUGUCGGACGUACUUCCGGUUUACACCGUAUCCCUAGGGUACUGGUCACACUUCCGGUGUGAAUCAUAUCAAAGAGGUAUUGGACUCACAUCUGGGGUACGGCAUACCCCUAGGAUAAUGGACACUCUUACGGUGUACAACACAUCCCUAGGGCACUGCAUACACGCCCGGUGUACAUCCCUAAGGUACUGGACUCACUUUCGACAUAAACCAUAUUCUGAAACAUAGCAGAUAUUCCGAAAUAAGACAAGUGUAGUUUAUGAAAAUCAUUGUCGGAAUGCAUCGUGCUCAUUACUACAGUGUCUUUCAACCGUACCGAUCAGGAUUGGAUAAGGAAAGAAAGAAUUUUCGUAAAUUACAUUCUUAUGUUUGGUUGCCGACAUCCCACAUUUAUCUAUAUUCACUUACAUAAAUGUAUCAAUUACUAUUUUCAUAUAUAUUAAAAUUAAACUAAAC